rnacentral:pre_miRNA from 1 species
AAAAGUUAAAAUUGUAUGGAGUUGGAACGUUUGCCUAUGUUUGCCGCUAGGGGCACUGUUCCAGCUGCAUACAAAUUUCAGGUA